rnacentral:rRNA from 1 species
GACGAACGCUGGCGGCGUGCCUAAUACAUGCAAGUCGAACGCAGUGGGGACGGGUGAGUAACACGUGGGUAACCUCCCAUAUGAGGGGAUAACACUUGGAAACAGGUGCUAACCCGAUAUGGAUGUAUGGACCCGCGGUGCAUUAGCUAGUUGGUGGGGUAACGGCUCACCAAGGCGACGAUGCAUAGCCGACCUGAGAGGGUGAUCGGCCACACUGGGACGGAGACACGGCCCAGACUCCUACGGGAGGCAGCAGUAGGGAAUCUUCGGCAAUGGGCGAAAGUCUGACCGAGCAACGCCGCGUGAGUGAAGAAGGUUUUCGGAUCGUAAAACACUGUUGUUAGAGAAGCGGUAUCUACACAGAAAGCCACGGCUAACUACGUGCCAGCAGCCGCGGUAAUAC